GUAAAAUUAAUAGCUAGCAACGUUGCUAAUGUAUAUCAUGUUUUCGGGCUAGAMAAUUGAGCUAAGUYCACCGUUAUUAACUAGUUCGGUUCACUCUGUACUUCCGGAGUUUACUGUUAAGUCACAUGUUUCAUCUAACCAAUGAGCUGCUUCUAACUGGCGCAUUGUCCCGCCCACCGUCUCCAUCUCUGACGCUGGUGGCUAACUGAAUGCUAGCAGAUAUUCAGCUAACAGGAGAUUCAUGGAAAACAAAACAAUAGUURGCAAACAUUGCAGAAUAAUUAGUAUUUGGUCAGAGGCGGCGCCAUUUUGUUCUGUUGUGCUCCCUCUUAUGAAAUCGGGCCUCUUGUCACUUUAAAUCCAGAGAAGCUUCUGCUGGCCACGYUCCCAAAAGUCAACAUUUACACUYGCCAGUGAAAAUGGCUGGAAACAGAAGURCAACUAUACARCCAUACAUCUUUGAAAAGCAGAAGUGGAGCCUCCUGCACAGUCAAAAUGUUGACGGCAAAUGGUUUCUGGAUGAGACUCUGCAAGACCAGUCAGGACCCUCGCCCUCACAGCCAGCGGAGAAAAGAUGAGAAAGGAGAGGAAGGCAGAGAGGAGGAGGUUUAUGAGGAUCGACCAGCACUUAAUACAUGAGAACAUCAUYCAAAAGAUGUGAGAUAAAAGACCUUCAUGGAGCAUAAAAGUCUAUCCAGAGGCUGGCAGCCGAGGAGAAUCCUGGGAAAGGUCAGAGAUCUUGGCGUUGUCGUCCCCACGGCGGGAGUUUGGAGUAUAGGGAGGGACAAUAACUCCUUGAGGUUGGCGGUUUGUGAGUGGGUGGGAGAAGCCCGAGGAGCUGGAUGGACUCUUCAGAAAGAUGAUGGAGAACAGAAAACCAGUGUAAUCCUGACAUUACAUCGAUGCCUUCAGCUGUCGUUGAGUGACGAUAAUCCUUGCGUGACAGCAACCUACCAAAGUUCAUCUUUCAGCGCCGUCUGCUCCUCAAAAAUCUCACAAAUCACACCUUCGCACACAAUCACGGCGCAGGAAGACGCAGAUUGGGGGAGAACUGGAGCCUGAGCACCCAGGGGGCCCUUUGAUGGCGACGGCUUUUUAUCGGCUAGCGGUGGAGUCAGUUUAUGGAGGAGCAGCGCGGGAUAACUAGGACAGCUAAAGAGGAGCGGCCCGGACAGGCAGGAAUAAUUAGGCGUCUGCUGCUCAGGAGAUACGGCAGCGGCGCGCCCGUCAAAAGGUCAGCGAAGGACGUGUCGGCGUACCGCUGGAAAAAGGAAUGGGCUUUCAGAGAGGGGGCGGCGGAGGAAGGAAAGUGUUAACAGGAAGAUGAGGGACGGAAAGGAGAAAAUAUACAAGAAUACGGUGCAAAGCCAUCUGCCUGCUGACAGGUGAGGCGCCCCAACAGAAACGAACUGUGACGACAGCGAAGUGGCCGCCGCCACUGUUUACACCAGGAGCGUAAGGCUCUUCCCAUCAUUCCCAGUGGACCCACUGGUGAAACGUCUGUCCCAGCAGCAGAAGUAAAGACACUUACGGCCUCGUUACUAAAGCUGUUUGAGAGUGGAAAGUCCCCCGGCUUAAAGCGGCACAAUGACAGAGUCUCAUUAAGCGAGUCGGAUGCCAGAUGAGGCGCCUGACGUCGGAGCCAACCUGAAAGCACCACCGUUUCUGCCCUACGUCAGCACACCUUGCUAAUCUGCCUCUUGUCAAGAAGAGAAAAGAGGAAAACUCGUGUAAAAUGUUGUGCCAGAAACGUCGUCGUGUUUCCUGAUUUGCAUCCUCAGCUCCUCCUUUGCAAAGUGUUUUUAGUCCAUCCAGCAGCUGCUCCUGCAAAACGCUCCUCUGGGUUCAGAUGAAACAGAAAACCUCGCAGCCCGUCGUGUCGUCUGUCUGCGUCCCUGUCGCUCRCCCGCAGGUCCAAGUCG